CGGGACAAAUACGACGGAAAAGUAGCAUUGAAUGUGGUUGCCACAGCGCAUUGUUAGCGGCCGGAAUCACUGCCAGGCGGUCUACGACCGGCCCAUCUCCCCCAACAGGUAAGGAUGCUUCUUUAAAUGCGGGACCCUAAACGCACCAGCGUUUUGGAAAUUAAUUAAGGGGUCACAGCGGUAGUACCGACAAGGUCGGGAAACUAGCUACGGUCACCGCGAAACCAAAUCUUCGCGCCGGCUUUGUUGGGACUGCUGCACCAUUUGGGGCCACCUGAUCCUGGGGAGCUCCGAGGGAUGAGAAGGGACGUGCGUAAGUAUAUGAUAUAAAUGCCUAUGGAUCUGAGUGUUUCCCUCACUUUUAGGGAUUCCCGCGACCAAAUUAGCUGAACGUAACGAGGGGCGAGAAGGACGGACGCAGGUAAAUCCGCAUUGAUUGACAACGGUGUGGUGUUGGCGGUCCGGAGAUCGAUACCACGCCUCUUUUGGCCACUGUGGACCGCGACGUUAUAGAGGCCGCGUGGUGAAGGAGCACGGUCGGGGUCGCGACCCUGUGCUGCUCGCGUUCUACGUGCCCGGAACGGACUUUCCCAGGUAACGUGGAAUUUUGUUGUGGUUAA